rnacentral:rRNA from 1 species
GAUAAACGCUGGCGGCGUGCCUAAUACAUGCAAGUCGAGCGAACGGACGAGAAGCUUGCUUCUCUGAUGUUAGCGGCGGACGGGUGAGUAACACGUGGAUAACCUACCUAUAAGACUGGGAUAACUUCGGGAAACCGGAGCUAAUACCGGAUAAUAUUUUGAACCGCAUGGUUCAAAAGUGAAAGACGGUCUUGCUGUCACUUAUAGAUGGAUCCGCGCUGCAUUAGCUAGUUGGUAAGGUAACGGCUUACCAAGGCAACGAUGCAUAGCCGACCUGAGAGGGUGAUCGGCCACACUGGAACUGAGACACGGUCCAGACUCCUACGGGAGGCAGCAGUAGGGAAUCUUCCGCAAUGGGCGAAAGCCUGACGGAGCAACGCCGCGUGAGUGAUGAAGGUCUUCGGAUCGUAAAACUCUGUUAUUAGGGAAGAACAUAUGUGUAAGUAACUGUGCACAUCUUGACGGUACCUAAUCAGAAAGCCACGGCUAACUACGUGCCAGCAGCCGCGGUAAUACGUAGGUGGCAAGCGUUAUCCGGAAUUAUUGGGCGUAAAGCGCGCGUAGGCGGUUUUUUAAGUCUGAUGUGAAAGCCCACGGCUCAACCGUGGAGGGUCAUUGGAAACUGGAAAACUUGAGUGCAGAAGAGGAAAGUGGAAUUCCAUGUGUAGCGGUGAAAUGCGCAGAGAUAUGGAGGAACACCAGUGGCGAAGGCGACUUUCUGGUCUGUAACUGACGCUGAUGUGCGAAAGCGUGGGGAUCAAACAGGAUUAGAUACCCUGGUAGUCCACGCCGUAAACGAUGAGUGCUAAGUGUUAGGGGGUUUCCGCCCCUUAGUGCUGCAGCUAACGCAUUAAGCACUCCGCCUGGGGAGUACGACCGCAAGGUUGAAACUCAAAGGAAUUGACGGGGACCCGCACAAGCGGUGGAGCAUGUGGUUUAAUUCGAAGCAACGCGAAGAACCUUACCAAAUCUUGACAUCCUUUGACAACUCUAGAGAUAGAGCCUUCCCCUUCGGGGGACAAAGUGACAGGUGGUGCAUGGUUGUCGCCAGCUCGUGUCGUGAGAUGUUGGGUUAAGUCCCGCAACGAGCGCAACCCUUAAGCUUAGUUGCCAUCAUUAAGUUGGGCACUCUAAGUUGACUGCCGGUGACAAACCGGAGGAAGGUGGGGAUGACGUCAAAUCAUCAUGCCCCUUAUGAUUUGGGCUACACACGUGCUACAAUGGACAAUACAAAGGGCAGCGAAACCGCGAGGUCAAGCAAAUCCCAUAAAGUUGUUCUCAGUUCGGAUUGUAGUCUGCAACUCGACUACAUGAAGCUGGAAUCGCUAGUAAUCGUAGAUCAGCAUGCUACGGUGAAUACGUUCCCGGGUCU